rnacentral:rRNA from 1 species
GGUGACAGGUGGUGCAUGGUUGUCGUCAGCUCGUGUCGUGAGAUGUUCGGGUUAAGUCCCGCAACGAGCGCAACCCUAUGUUAGUUGCCAUCAUUCAGUUGGGCACUCUAGCGAGACUGCCGGUAAUAAACCGGAGGAAGGUCGGGGAUGACGUCAAAUCAUCAUGCCCCUUAUGACCUGGGCUACACACGUGCUACAAUGGUUGGUACAACGAGUUGCGAGUCGGUGACGGCGAGCUAAUCUCUUAAAGCCAAUCUCAGUUCGGAUUGUAGGCUGCAACUCGCCUACAUGAAGUCGGAAUCUCUAGUAAUCGCGGAUCAGCACGCCGCGGUGAAUACGUUCCCGGGCCUU